GAUGAACGCUGGCGGCGUGCCUAAUACAUGCAAGUCGAGCGAACAGAUAAGGAGCUUGCUCCUUUGACGUUAGCGGCGGACGGGUGAGUAACACGUGGGUAACCUACCUAUAAGACUGGGAUAACUUCGGGAAACCGGAGCUAAUACCGGAUAACAUUUGGAACCGCAUGGUUCUAAAGUGAAAGAUGGUUUUGCUAUCACUUAUAGAUGGAACCGCGCCGUAUUAGCUAGUUGGUAAGGUAACGGCUUACCAAGGCAACGAUACGUAGCUGACCUGAGAGGGUGAUCGGCCACACUGGAACUGAGACACGGUCCAGACUCCUACGGGAGGCAGCAGUAGGGAAUCUUCCGCAAUGGGCGAAAGCCUGACGGAGCAACGCCGCGUGAGUGAUGAAGGGUUUCGGCUCGUAAAACUCUGUUAUUAGGGAAGAACAAACGUGUAAGUAACUGUGCACGUCUUGACGGUACCUAAUCAGAAAGCCACGGCUAACUACGUG
rnacentral:rRNA from 1 species